UUCAGUAAGGAGGAAAGGUUAAGUGUUAAUAGCACUUAGCUGUGACGUUACUUACAGAAGAAGCACCGGCUAACUCCGUGCCAGCAGCCGCGGUAAUACGGAGGGUGCGAGCGUUAAUCGGAAUUACUGGGCGUAAAGCGUACGCAGGCGGUUUGUUAAGCGAGAUGUGAAAGCCCCGGGCUCAACCUGGGAACUGCAUUUCGAACUGGCAAACUAGAGUGUGAUAGAGGGUGGUAGAAUUUCAGGUGUAGCGGUGAAAUGCGUAGAGAUCUGAAGGAAUACCGAUGGCGAAGGCAGCCACCUGGGUCAACACUGACGCUCAUGUACGAAAGCGUGGGGAGCAAACAGGAUUAGAUACCCUGGUAGUCCACGCCGUAAACGAUGUCUACUAGAAGCUCGACUCUUCGGAGUUGUUUUUCAAAGCUAACGCAUUAAGUAGACCGCCUGGGGAGUACGGCCGCAAGGUUAAAACUCAAAUGAAUUGACGGGGGCCCGCACAAGCGGUGGAGCAUGUGGUUUAAUUCGAUGCAACGCGAAGAACCUUACCUACACUUGACAUACAGAGAACUUACCAGAGAUGGUUUGGUGCCUUCGGGAACUCUGAUACAGGUGCUGCAUGGCUGUCGUCAGCUCGUGUUGU
rnacentral:rRNA from 1 species